GCUGACACAUCCCGGCCAAUCUCCAGCAGACCCUCCCUCCCAGACCCUCCUACUUCCUGGACAGCAUCCAUGUUGAAGGCAGCUUCAACAUGGAUGCUGUCCAGGAGGUGGGAGGGUCUGGGAGGGAGGGUCUGCUGGAGAUUGGCCGGGAUGUGUCAG
rnacentral:miRNA from 1 species